rnacentral:rRNA from 1 species
AACAGGAUUAGAUACCCUGGUAGUCCACGCCGUAAACGAUGUCGACUUGGAGGCUGUUCCCUUGAGGAGUGGCUUCCGGAGCUAACGCGUUAAGUCGACCGCCUGGGGAGUACGGCCGCAAGGUUAAAACUCAAAUGAAUUGACGGGGGCCCGCACAAGCGGUGGAGCAUGUGGUUUAAUUCGAUGCAACGCGAAGAACCUUACCUACUCUUGACAUCCAGAGAAUUUAGCAGAGAUGCUUUAGUGCCUUCGGGAACUCUGAGACAGGUGCUGCAUGGCUGUCGUCAGCUCGUGUUGUGAAAUGUUGGGUUAAGUCCCGCAACGAGCGCAACCCUUAUCCUUUGUUGCCAGCGCGUAAUGGCGGGAACUCAAAGGAGACUGCCGGCGAUAAACCGGAGGAAGGUGGGGAUGACGUCAAGUCAUCAUGGCCCUUACGAGUAGGGCUACACACGUGCUACAAUGGCGCAUACAAAGAGAAGCGACCUCGCGAGAGCAAGCGGACCUCAUAAAGUGCGUCGUAGUCCGGAUUGGAGUCUGCAACUCGACUCCAUGAAGUCGGAAUCGCUAGCAAUCGUAAAUCAGAAUGUUACGGUGAAUACGUUCCCGGGCCUUGUACACACCGCCCGUCACACCAUGGGAGUGGGUUGCAAAAGAAGUAGAUAGCCUAACCUUCGGGAGGGCGUUUACCACUUUGUGAUUCAUGACUGGGGUGAAGUCGUAACAAGGUAACCGUAGGGGAACCUGCGGCUGGAUCACCUCCUU